rnacentral:rRNA from 1 species
UGGGGAAUUUUGGACAAUGGGCGAAAGCCUGAUCCAGCAAUGCCGCGUGUGUGAAGAAGGCCUUCGGGUUGUAAAGCACUUUUGUCCGGAAAGAAAUCCUUGGCUCUAAUACAGUCGGGGGAUGACGGUACCGGAAGAAUAAGCACCGGCUAACUACGUGCCAGCAGCCGCGGUAAUACGUAGGGUGCAAGCGUUAAUCGGAAUUACUGGGCGUAAAGCGUGCGCAGGCGGUUUGCUAAGACCGAUGUGAAAUCCCCGGGCUCAACCUGGGAACUGCAUUGGUGACUGGCAGGCUAGAGUAUGGCAGAGGGGGGUAGAAUUCCACGUGUAGCAGUGAAAUGCGUAGAGAUGUGGAGGAAUACCGAUGGCGAAGGCAGCCCCCUGGGCCAAUACUGACGCUCAUGCACAAAAGCGUGGGGAGCAAACAGGAUUAGAUACCCUGGUAGUCCACGCCCUAAACGAUGUCAACUAGUUGUUGGGGAUUCAUUUCCUUAGUAACGUAGCUAACGCGUGAAGUUGACCGCCUGGGGAGUACGGUCGCAAGAUUAAAACUCAAAGGAAUUGACGGGGUC